rnacentral:rRNA from 1 species
CGGCGACGUUGAGCAAAUCCCAAAAAUAACGUCCCAGUUCGGAUUGUAGUCUGCAACCCGACUACAUGAAGCUGGAAUCGCUAGUAAUCGCGGAUCAGAACGCCGCGGUGAAUACGUUCCCGGGUCUUGUACACACCGCCCGUCACACCAUGGGAGUCGGAAAUGCCCGAAGUCAGUGACCCAACCGUAAGGAGGGAGCUGCCGAAGGUGGAGCCGGCAACUGGGGUGAAGUCGUAACAAGGUACC